GAUGAACGCUGGCGGCGUGCCUAAUACAUGCAAGUCGAGCGAACAGACGAGGAGCUUGCUCCUCUGACGUUAGCGGCGGACGGGUGAGUAACACGUGGAUAACCUACCUAUAAGACUGGGAUAACUUCGGGAAACCGGAGCUAUACCGGAUAAUAUAUUGAACCGCAUGGUUCAAUAGUGAAAGACGGUUUUGCUGUCACUUAUAGAUGGAUCCGCGCCGCAUUAGCUAGUUGGUAAGGUAACGGCUUACCGAGGCAACGAUGCGUAGCCGACCUGAGAGGGUGAUCGGCCACACUGGAACUGAGACACGGUCCAGACUCCUACGGGAGGCAGCAGUAGGGAAUCUUCCGCAAUGGGCGAAAGCCUGACGGAGCAACGCCGCGUGAGUGAUGAAGGUCUUCGGAUCGUAAAACUCUGUUAUUAGGGAAGAACAAAUGUGUAAGUAACUAUGCACGUCUUGACGGUACCUAAUCAGAAAGCCACGGCUAACUACGUG
rnacentral:rRNA from 1 species